rnacentral:rRNA from 1 species
UGGGGAAUUUUGGACAAUGGGCGAAAGCCUGAUCCAGCAAUGCCGCGUGUGUGAAGAAGGCCUUCGGGUUGUAAAGCACUUUUGUCCGGAAAGAAAUCCUUGGCUCUAAUACAGUCGGGGGAUGACGGUACCGGAAGAAUAAGCACCGGCUAACUACGUGCCAGCAGCCGCGGUAAUACGUAGGGUGCAAGCGUUAAUCGGAAUUACUGGGCGUAAAGCGUGCGCAGGCGGUUUGCUAAGACCGAUGUGAAAUCCCCGGGCGUCAACCUGGGAACUGGCAUUGGUGACUGGCAGGCUAGAGUAUGGCAGAGGGGGUGAGAAUUCCACGUGUAGCAGUGAAAUGCGUAGAGAUGUGGAGGAAUACCGAUGGCGAAGGCAGCCCCUCGGCAGUCAACUGACGCUCAUGCACGAAAGCGUGGGGAGCAAACAGGAUUAGAUACCCUGGUAGUCCACGCCCUAAACGAUGUCAACUAGUUGUUGGGGAUUCAUUUCCUUAGUAACGUAGCUAACGCGUGAAGUUGACCGCCUGGGGAGUACGGUCGCAAGGCUAAAACUCAAAUG